UGCAUAUCAAUAAGCGGAGGAAAAGAAACCAACCGGGAUUGCCUUAGUAACGGCGAGUGAAGCGGCAAAAGCUCAAAUUUGAAAUCUGGUACCUUCGGUGCCCGAGUUGUAAUUUGGAGAGGGCAACUUUGGGGCCGUUCCUUGUCUAUGUUCCUUGGAACAGGACGUCAUAGAGGGUGAGAAUCCCGUGUGGCGAGGAGUGCGGUUCUUUGUAAAGUGCCUUCGAAGAGUCGAGUUGUUUGGGAAUGCAGCUCUAAGUGGGUGGUAAAUUCCAUCUAAAGCUAAAUAUUGGCGAGAGACCGAUAGCGAACAAGUACAGUGAUGGAAAGAUGAAAAGAACUUUGAAAAGAGAGUGAAAAAGUACGUGAAAUUGUUGAAAGGGAAGGGCAUUUGAUCAGACAUGGUGUUUUGUGCCCUCUGCUCCUUGUGGGUAGGGGAAUCUCGCAUUUCACUGGGCCAGCAUCAGUUUUGGUGGCAGGAUAAAUCCAUAGGAAUGUAGCUUGCCUCGGUAAGUAUUAUAGCCUGUGGGAAUACUGCCAGCUGGGACUGAGGACUGCGAC
rnacentral:rRNA from 1 species